AGAGUUUGAUCAUGGCUCAGAAUAAACGCUGGCGGCGUGCUUAACACAUGCAAGUCGAGCGAGAAAGGUCUUCGGACUGAGUACAGCGGCAGACGGGUGAGUAACGCGUAGGAAUCUGCCUUUUAGUGAAGAAUACUCCCGAGAAAUCGGGCUUAAUACUGCAUAAGUCUCGAAAGAGAGAAAGAUGGCCUCUUUGCUGU
rnacentral:rRNA from 1 species